rnacentral:rRNA from 1 species
UACGAAGGGGGCUGGCGUUGCUCGGAAUCACUGGGCGUAAAGCGCACGUAGGCGGACUCUUAAGUCGGUGGUGAAAUCCUGGAGCUCAACUCCAGAACUGCCUUCGAUACUGAGAGUCUCGAGUCCGGGAGAGGUGAGUGGAACUGCGAGUGUAGAGGUGAAAUUCGUAGAUAUUCGCAAGAACACCAGUGGCGAAGGCGGCUCACUGGCCCGGUACUGACGCUGAGGUGCGAAAGCGUGGGGAGCAAACAGG